rnacentral:tRNA from 1 species
GGGAAUGUGGCUUAGUGGUAGAGCGCUUGCCUAGCAUGCAUGAAGUCCUGGGUUUGAUUCUCAGUACCA